GUUGUCGGAUUCACCUCAAUCUGCAUGUGUUGGAGUGGAUUAGGGUGGAAUUUAGUUCAAGUUCCACUUUAAUCCACCUCAACAUAUAUGGAUUGAUGCGAAUCCGACU
rfam:Sorghum bicolor cultivar BTx623 chromosome 10, whole genome shotgun sequence.